rnacentral:rRNA from 1 species
AUAGAGACUCAGAGCUGCAUAUCAAUAAGCGGAGGAAAAGAAACUAACAAGGAUUCCCCUAGUAACGGCGAGUGAAGCGGGAAGAGCUCAAAUUUGAAAUCUUAAAGGGUUUCCCUUUACGAAUUGUUAGUUUAAAGAAGUGUUUUCUGUUGAGGUUUUGGUAAAAGUUCUUUGGAAUAGGACAUCAUUAGAGGGUGAGAAUCCCGUAUUUGACCUUUACUUUCAACUUUGUGAUACACUUUCAAAGAGUCGGAUUGUUUGGGAAUGCAGGUCCAAAAUGGGUGGUAAAUUUCAUCUAAAGCUAAAUAUUGGCGAGAGACCGAUAGCGAACAAGUACCGUGAGGGAAAGAUGAAAAGAACUUUGAAAAGAGAGUUAAACAGUACGUGAAAUUGUCAAAAGGGAGGCGUUUGACACCAGUGUUGUUUUCUCGAAAAUCAAUUAAAAAUGGCUCGAUUUUGUAUUGUUGAGACCUUAAAAGCUCACUGUACAUUUUUCGUGUCUUUUUUAAUGCACUUUUCGUUUAACAAGUCAACAUCAGUUUCUUUUGUUGUAAAAGGGUCAUUGGAAGGUGGCUUUCUUUUCGGAGAAAGUGUUUAUAGCCUUUGGCCUCUGCAAUCGGAGAGACUGAGGUCUGCAGCGUAGACUCUUCGGGGUUAGAUACAUUUGUGCUAAGUUAUAGCUUCUUUAUAGACAACUUGUUGACUAUAAUUAAUCCUCGUAACUUACUCGCUUAUGCUAUUUUACCUACGCUUAGGAUGUUGAGUAGCGACAUACGCAC